GCUUCGCAGACGGUUUGCACGGCAGGUGGUGCCUGAUCCUCCUCUGCGCUCCGCGGGCUUAGCUGGAGCAGCCUGGGCACACAGGUUGGUCCAGAAGAGCUCAGACCUGCUGGUCUUCCAGCUGUGGCUGAGGCUAAGCGCAGCUCAGAGAGCCAUCAGGAACAGGAACCUCAUCAUGAGCAGCCCUGGCCGGAGACACAAUUUUGAGGGAAGGCUACAGCAACCUCAUGUUUAGAAAAGAUGCUUGAACUCCCCUCCUAAGUGGUCAUGGAAGCUAUUUUCAUCUUCAGCUGCUGCAGAUUUGUUCCUGAGAUGGUGGCUGCACCAAGUGGCUGACACAGACCUGAGAAUCAA